ACAGAACCGUCCAAUUUAUAAGAAUUCAAGUGAAUUAGCGACCACGGAGGCAGUCAAGCCAAUGGACUUGAACCCAUAUAAACCCGGUAGCCCGACGAAAUCUCAAAAGACCUCGAUUCAACCAACAUACAACCAAGAUCGUACAUGAUCAAGCAUCACCAUCACAGAUUACAACAUUCAUCACAGAACAUAGUUUUACAUCACAUCAGAGUUUAAAGAGGUUAUUACAAACCAUAGCGGUAGCGGAAACAAAGUAGUUUUGAAGCAACACCAACUCAGUUUAUAAUACAUGCCAGUUCCAUGGUCAAGUCCCAACAAAAGCACAACUGAAGUUAAAGGACGUGAUCAUGCCCAUGAUCUACUCAUCAUCUGCAGCCGGGUGAUGACACUUAGCACAGUAGCCGUGGUAAACGACAUCAUCUGCAACAAGGGUAAAUAAAACCCUGAGUACGAGAAUGUACUCAGCUAGACUUACCCGUCAUAAACCAGAAAUAAAGUGACACCAAGGAGUAUGCAAGGCUGAUCUUUGUGGACUGGUUUGACUCACUUUUUGCAUAAAAGCCUUUGUUAUAAGUAAUUCAUUUAUCAGAUUUCAGCAGCAAGUUCAUUACUUAGCAACUAUCCACUAGAUUAGCACCUGCUCUAAGCAUACACCUGAGUCUUUAAGAAUUACAAUAAUAACCAUAUCCGGAUUAUCACAUAGCUAUCAUCAUUCUCAUCAUAACCAUUAAGUUCAUUUAGUGCAUUCUACUUUGCCGCUGCCCAAGUCAAGUUCUCACUAUCCGGGAGAGACGGCGAUUCGAAUCGAUUCCUAUCUAGCUGGAGGGGUAUUCCUAACACUCACCCAAGCGUACUUCAUGACGGCAGCUCGGAUCACCUUUAGCACAACUCCGGACCAAUUCGCGGGUCCGUACGGCGCCGCACCCCCAGGGACCGCCAAUCUGCCAGGGUCAGGACUCUAACCUGACACCUUGGUCUUACGCCAUUGACUCCCCGCACAUCCUUACUACCAACCGGGGUGCGCACUUUAACCAGAUCGGGGUAUCCGGCUGGAGUUGCACUCGUAGGCUUCGCGGUCGGAACGACUUAUCCGGCCAACUAAGUGAUAGGCAUGCGUUCAACAUGACACGGGGACGUACAGCGAUUCGGUCCUUAAACGACACAGACGGGGAUAGAUUCACACCCAAGACCUCCGUGCCUUGUUGCUGCACUAUCGUCAUCCCGCCCGGUCUCAAGUUCAUUAUUAGCACAUGGUUAUUUCCACGAUAGCAAAUAUAGCCAACCGUGAUCAUCAUCCACCUAACUCUCGCAGGUGACAGGAAAUCACCCGGCUUCUACCGAGCUAAGCAUGGCUAAGCAUUACUUCGAUCCUGGACCUACUUUGGUAUUGUUUAAGGUGGACAAGGUAGUCAUUAUGCAGCAAAGGUGUCAUAUCAACGCCUACCACUUAAUGCAACAAUAUAUAUAACCAUAGUCAUUUGAUAGCUGAACAAGAUAAUAAAAUAGUAGGAGGCUUAUAAUUCUCCGGGGCUUGCCUUCAACGUAAGUGGAUGGACGAUGGUCGGGACACUCCGGCAAGUCCUCCUCCACCUCAACUUCUUGAGGUAGCUCCCCUUGCUGUCCUUCCGGCUCCGGCAACUCGAACUCCAGCACCGUUACUCCCUUGGGUACACCUAUGGAUGCAUGACAAGGAGAUGAAUAAAGAGAAUGCACAUAUGAUGUAUGAUGCCAUGAUGAGGAGCAAAAGGGACACAAACAAGGUAUAACAUGAGCAUAACCCUUAAGAUUAAGUGCAUCAUGGACUAACAAGUAAGUGCAUACUUCUUCUCUAGUAGAGAGACUAAAUAGACAAGUUAAACAAGUACUAGCUACUCCUACUCAGCCACUGGUUUAGUAGACAAACCAACCAGUCACAAGUUUCAGCCAUAACUCAAGCAUCUAUUAACGAAAUUAAGCAAGUAAGUACUUUAUGGAAAGCUUAGCAAUUUAUCUACAAUUCACUUUUAGACAACCCAGACUGAUUCCCCACUUAAAUAUGCUAAAACCUAUAAAGUUGGCUGGCUGCUCUGGGAAUUCCAGAGAGCAAGCACUUUGCAGCGGCUACUUGCAACAUGCAUAACUUUCAAACUACUCAACCAAAUGUCAUGAAAUUUGGACACGAAGUAGAUCAGUAAGUUAGCUACAAGUUUGUUGUAGACAAGUGUCCCAGAAAACAUCAUCUUCAAUUAGCUCUUAAUCAUUUGCUAUCAGCUGUACAGAAAUGCUCUAGGAAAGGCAAAAGUAGCAAAAAUAAUAUUUGGCACAUGUUGAAAAUGUAUCAAAGGAAAAAUCCAAUUGCACCAGUAGGUAGAACAUAUCUAAGAAACACCAGAAAACAUCAUAGCAAGGUCUAAAACUAUUUCUAUCAUCACCUUUUCCAUUUAUUUAAUUAUUAAGGUGAUUUAAUGAACAUAUACUCCAAGUGUUCCACAAAUCCUGAGAAAAUUACAGCAAGCUACUUAGGCUAACAUAAGAUCACUGUAAAAUUUUCAAAACAUUUGCACAUACACAUUAUGAGGUAUAAAAAUAUCAAGUUAUUAUAGGCAUGCAAGGCAUAAAUGUGAAACCCUAUCAAAAAGUGUCAAACAACAGAUUUCAGAUUUUUCCUUGCUUUGUCUACUCAUAAGUACAACACUCAGCAAGUUUCAUCUCAAAAGGGGCUAUAACCUAUUUAUUAAAAAUAUCACAAGAAACUCCUAUUUAAGCAAGAAUUAUUUUUAACUUCUUAAGCAGGCUUCGAAAAAUCAUGAAAAAUUUAUCAGAGCCUAUUCAUAACAUAAGUAACAACUCCUUAAAUUUGCAUGGCCAGCAGAUCAACAGAUCUCAAGAUAUAAUUAUCCACUGAAAAUCCAAGAUUAAUUUAUAUCUAUUUAUUUCUGCAAAAACAUGGCAUGUUUCAUAUUUUUAUUAAAAACUAGACUUCUGCUGGAACCUAGCAAAAUUAGAAUCACCAUAUUUGGAUCUCUAAAACUCCAGAUAUGAAUUUUACAAAAACAGCACAGGAUCUGUAACAACAGUGACCUAGGGGGUGAAACCGAGAGACUGACAUCCGGGACCCACGCGUCAGUGGGACGGGGACAGGGGAGAUGCUUGUCGCCGGCGAAGCUCGACGACGACGAGGUCUCGGUCGGAUCUAAGGGCAUCUACGUGUUCCUCUCAUCAAGGCGACUCUGUUGACCUACUUUACGCGCGCUCUACUGGACUCUAGGGUGCUCGCCGUCGGGAAUGGCGGAGCGGCGGCGCUGCGCGGCGGUACGCCGGCGGAUCCAGGCAAUGGCGAUGCAGUAGAGGUUCACGCCGAGCAUCAGUGAACCAAGGGGAAGCGAUAGGAACAAGAAUGGAGGAAAAUGGUAGAGCAGAGAGGCCUGGCCACAUUGCUGGUGAGCUCGAGCGGAACUCCGGCGAGGAAGAACUGCUCGGAGCUCGGCAAUGCCGCCUUACCCGUGCUCGAUAGUGGCCAAGGAGGUGACGCCGAGGUAGAGGAGGCUUUGGCGAAGCUUUUGGCGGGCGCGGCCGUUCCACGGUGGAGCUCGCCAAGGCGAAAUGGAGAAGGGAGAUGGCGCUGGAGAGGCGAAAUGAGGACGGCCAGGGCUCGGGGUGGCGUCGUGGCGUCCAAGUGAAGGCGCCGGGGCUGACAGGCGGGGUCGCCGUCAACGUAUGGCCGCCACGGGUGAUCCACGCGUCGGCCGGCCGGCGACUGACGAAACUGAAUCCCACGAUUCAGUCGUUGUCGACCGUGUCUGAAACCGAAAGUUCACCGACGUUUUACUCUCAGCUCACUCGAUGGUUUUGGCUCAAACUUAUUCCAUUGGACAGAGCUACACGAGUUCUACAACUUUGAUUACAAGAUCAAAGCCUAACUCAGUCUGGAUUUCAAACUACAAGGCUCCAAACAGCCCUACCUCGGAACUGCGUGAUCCAACACUUAGCCAAAUUCGGCUAAGUAUGAAAUCAGCCCUGAUUUUUGGCUUGUGAGCAAUUUUUGAAUAUGUUCUAAGCUUUUUCAUAAAAAGUCAUCAACAUAACUUUUGUAGCUUAUGAAAUUCGCUACAACUUUGCUUCAGGUGUCACAGACAUGCAAGGUUUCUAACAUUACUUUCAUAAAACAUCUUUGAAGAGAGGUCUAGGGAGUCAAUUAAGCCAUUCUAGGUUUAACCCUAACCUAGGGGCAUUUUUGGCCAAAACCUUCAACAUGCACUUUGCUCCAAAUGAUAUUCUAAACAUGAUUGAAGUAUUUUGGAAGACAAUGUGCACUUGUUUCCAUUGGUUACCCCUUAUAGUCACUCAACUCAAGUGACACAAGCAAUUCAAUCAUACAUGGCAUACAUAAGAUGACAUGUGAUCAUGAUAGAUGCUUAUGAAUGAGCAUGAUGAUGCUUGUGUUGAUGCAAUGCUCAUGGUUAACAUGCAAGCUAACACUAGGAGUGUUACAGCCCUCCCCCCUUACAAAAAUCUCGUCCCGAGAUUUGAAAGACGUACCAUUUUUCGUAGAAUGAGGGAUAAGUUACUUGUAAAUAGUCUUCCCUUUCCCAAGUGGCAUCUCUCUCAUUUUGACGGUUCCACAAAACUCUAAAAAGUUUGAUCACUCUCCCACGAGUAACCCGUUCCUUGACAUCAAGAACUUGCACAGGCUUUUCUUCAUAAGAUAGGUCUGACUGCAACUUGAUAUCUCUUGUUUCAACUCUCUCUUCGGGCACAUGAAGACACUUCUUGAGUUGAGACACGUGGAAUACAGGGAAAAUAGCUCUCAUUUCGGGAGGUAGUUGUACUUUGUAAGCUACCUUGCCGCUCUUCUCAAUGAUUCGGUAGGGACCCACAUACCUAGGAGCAAGCUUUCUUUUAACGCCAAAGCGAUUUACUCCUUUCAUGGGCGAUACUUUUAUGUACACAAACUCACCUACUUCGAACUCGAUUGGCUUUCUUCUUCGGUCAGCAUAGAUUUUCUGCCUAGCUUGGGCGGCUCUCAUGUGUUGUUGGAUAAUGAGAACUUGCUUUUCAGCCUCUUUGACAAAUUCGAUUCCGUAGUACCUCCUUUCACCUGGUUCAACCCAGUUUAACGGAGUUCUACAUUUGCGGCCAUACAAGGCUUCGAAAGGAGCCAUUUGGAUACUCUCUUGAUAACUGUUGUUGUACGAGAAUUCAGCUAAGGGUAGCCAUUUCUCCCAUGCACCCUUGGAAGAUAUAACACAUGCCCUCAACAUAUCCUCUAAGAUUUGAUUCACACGCUCAGUCUGACCGGAGGUUUGAGGAUGAUAGGCUGAACUGCGAACCAAUUUUGUACCAAGGAGUGAAUGCAGAUGCUCCCAAAAGCGAGCAGUGAACUGAGGACCUCUAUCAGAAAUGAUAGUGUGAGGCACUCCGUGCAAUUUAACUAUCUGAGAGAAGUACAAUUCAGCAUAGUCAGAUGGUCGGUAUGUAGAGUGUACGGGAAUAAAAUGAGCUGACUUGGUCAAACGGUCAACAAUCACCCAUAUAGAAUUGUGUCCUUUUUGCGUAAGGGGAAGUCCAACAAUGAAAUCCAUGCUGAUUUCUUCCCACUUCCAACCUGGAAUUGACAACGGUUGCAAUAAACCUGCAGGUUUGAGGUGAACUGCCUUUACCCUGCAGCAAGUAUCACACCUAGCAACAUAAGCUGCUAUCUCUUUCUUCAUUUUGGUCCACCAGAAACGAGGUCUCAAGUCUUGGUACAUUUUGCUACUACCCGGAUGAAUGGACAACUUGGAAGAAUGAGCUUCUUCUAAAAUUUUGUUGCGUAGGUCACGGUCUUUGGGUACAACUAGUCGAUCGUCAAACCACAGUACACCCUUCUCAUCUACUCGGAAAUGCUUGGUGUCUUGCUCUUGCAUUUUUCUCUUGAUAUGUAAAAUACAAGGAUCAGAUUUUUGGAGCUCUAUGAUUUGACUUUCUAAUGAGCAACUGACUAUAAUGUUGUGUAGGACCACCGGAUGCAAUAAAUUGAAGCCUUCCUCUAGGAGAGGUCUAACAUGUUUUUUCUGACUGAGAGCAUCAGCUACAACAUUGGCUUUUCCGGGAUGAUAGUGCACUUCUAAAUUGUAGUCCUUUAUUAAUUCCAACCAUCUUAUUUGUCUCAUAUUCAGCUCGGGUUGGGUGAAUAUAUAUUUGAGGCUCUUAUGGUCAGUGUAAAUGUGACAAAGAUUACCCAACAGAUAGUGUCUCCAGAGUUUCAAUGCAUGUACAACUGCUGCUAACUCUAGAUCAUGAGUAGGGUAGUUGGCUUCAUGUUUCCUCAGUUGCCGAGAAGCGUAGGCAAUAACUCGGCCUUCUUGCAUAAGUACACAACCUAGGCCAGUGCCAGAUGCAUCACAAAAGACAUCAAAUGGCUUUUCAAUGUCAGGCUGUGCCAGAACAGGAGCGGUGGUCAGCAAAUGGCAUAGAGUGGUGAAAGCAACUUCACACUCCUCGGACCACACAAACUUCACAUCUUUUUGCAGUAGAUUGGUCAUAGGCUUAGCUAUUUUGGAGAAGUCUGGAAUAAAACGCCGAUAAUAUCUAGCUAGACCGAGAAAACUCCGAACUUCGUGCACUGAAGUCGGGGCCUUCCAGCCUAGAACCUCUUGCACCUUUGACGGGUCAACCGAAAUACCCUCUUCGGAUAAAAUAUGGCCUAAGAAAGGCACUUUCUUCAGCCAAAACUCACACUUGCUGAACUUGGCAUAGAGCUGAUGUUCUCGCAAUCUAGUGAGUACAAUCCGAAGGUGCUUCUCAUGUUCUUGUGCAUUUUCAGAAUACACCAAUAUAUCAUCGAUGAACACCACCACAAGCUUAUCCAGUUCAGGCGUGAACACCGAAUUCAUCAGGUACAUGAAAUGAGCAGGGGCAUUAGUCAGACCAAAGGACAUGACUAAAUACUCAUACAACCCAUACCUGGUAGAGAAAGCCGUUUUAGGAAUGUCUUCAGAUCGGAUCUUGAUUUGAUGAUACCCAGAUCUCAGAUCAAUUUUGGAGAAUACUUUGGCCUCGGCUAAUUGAUCAAACAGGAUAUCAAUGCGAGGCAAAGGAUACUUGUUUUUAAUGGUCACGGCAUUCAGCGGACGAUAGUCUACACACAUACGUAGAGACUUGUCCUUCUUCUUGACAAAGAGAGCCGGACAACCCCAUGGAGAAGAACUAGGCUGAAUAAGACCUUUCUCUAGGAGUUCUUGCAAUUGCUUUUUCAACUCUGCCAAUUCAUUGGGUGGCAUUUGGUAUGGCCUUCUAGAGAUAGGUGCGGUACCCGGAAUUAGAUCAAUUUUAAACUCAAUGUCUCCGUCCGGCGGCAACCCGGGCAGAUCCUCUGGAAAGACAUCCGGAAACUCACACACUACCGGAAUCUCUGCCAAAGUGAGUGGUCGAAUGGCAUUGGCAGCAUGACGAAUGUCAUCAUUCUUGGGAAGCUGGACUAAGAAGGCUUCUUUGCUAUCAGGCUCCCGCAACAUGACUACUCUCGUGGAGGUAUCUAUUAACACCCCAUGCCUGCUCAUCCAAUUCAUCCCUAGAAUAACAUCUAUCCCUAGGCCUGGCAGUACGACUAAAUCUGCUGCAUAAUUACGCCCUUCUAUGGCAAUAUGUACAUCCCUCACUAAUUGAUUCGUAGCAAUUUGAUUACCAGCAGCACUAAUGCAAAAUUUUCCACUAUCAAGAUCGGUGACAUGUUGCCCAUGCUUAGAUGCGAAUGCUUGACUCAUAAAUGAAUGCGAAGCUCCAGAAUCAAACAAGACAACUGCAGGGUGUUGAUUUACAAGGAACAUACCAGCGGUGACUGCUUCACCUUCCGAAAUUUCUUCAACCGUGGUGUAGUGCACACGACCCAUACGGUUAUUUCCUCCGGCUGCAGCAUUUCUCUUAGGGUAGGGGCAAUCUCUUGCCCAGUGACCAACUUGCUUGCAAUUGAAACAAGGGCGGUUAUCAGGAGGAUUCUUGGGACUUCCUUGACCCGUGGCACCUCUUGGGAGAGCAACUGUGAAGGACUUGCGCACUCCCGUCUUCACAUUUGACUUUUUCUGCGGCGGCCUGUACCUUGUCAUAGUAUUGGGUGGGCGAUAGGCCGGCUUGCUUGCCACUGGAGCCUUGGACUGCGAAGCACCUGCCUCAUAGGCCCUCUUGCGGUUCUUGGAUGCGGCAUACACAACAUUAGAAUUUUCCUGAGUCAAUGCAUCACUCACAAACUCGUUGAAGGUGGUACUCUUGUUACCAGCCAUGUUCUUGGACAACUUGGGUCCCAACCCUCUCUUGAAACUAGCGAGCUUCUUGGCUUCGGUGUCAACCAUCUCAGGAGCAUAGCGAGAAAAAUUGUUAAAAGCAUGAAGAUACUCAGUCAAGCUUUUAGUGCCUUGCGUCAGGUUCAUGAACUCGGUGUGCUUGAUAGUCAUUAAGCCUUGUGGAAUAUAAGUGUUCCUGAAAGCAGUUUGGAACUAGUCCCAGGUUACCACAGCAUUGGCAGGCAAGCUGGUCCUGUAAUGACUCCACCAGACACCUGCUUUGCCCUCCAACUAGUGGGCUGCAUAUUCCGCCUUUAGCUCUUCGGUCACCCUCAGCAAGCGGAACUUCUGCUCGAGAGUGUUGAGCCAUUCAUCAGCUUCUAGAGGUUCGUCAGCCUCCUUAAAAAGCGGUGGUUUUGUGUCUUGGAAAUCCUUAAAACUGCUGUACUGAUUUGCCUCUCCGCCUUGGCGGGCAUGGCGACCACCCCGAUUCUGUUGCGCCAUAGUUUGCAUAGCCUCGUUGAACAUACGCUGGCCCUCAACAAGAGCUGCCAAUAGCUCAGUAGGUGUAGGCGGGGGAGGAGGUGGUGGCGGCGGCACCUCGUUGUGACCGGAGCGAGUAUUGCGAGCCAUCUGCACAAGGCAUACCAAGUGACCGUUUAGGACAACAGAUAUAAUUGCCAUGAACUUCAAUUGCUGCCAUACGGAAUUUAAUGAAGUAAAUUUACAUAAAUUAAGGCACAAUAAUCCAUGUACAACAAGAGAAUAUCAUCCACAACACUUGGUUAUUCUUGCGAUCAUUCACAACCACACUCUACAAAAUUAAAGUCACUGCAGAAAUUAUUUAAGCUCAACAUAAACAUGGAGCAGCACAAUUGAGUGCAUAGGGUUACACAGAGUCACUGCCACAACAUAGAGUCUCAACUAAAAUUCAGAUUACAUAUCCAUUACACAAAGAGAUGGAAACUGAUACAUGAUCAUAAAAUCAUUGCUAGGCUACAUAUCUUCCUCAGAGUCUCCAUUAGAAACGAUGCCAUCAUCCUGAUCUUCCUCACUAGAAGCUUCUUCAUGAUUAAAAGGGGCUGGAUGUGGAAUAGGAUUUAUGAUAUUGUUUAAAUGGUGGACAUCCAAUUGUAGCUCAGCAGUUCUAGUGAUCAGCUCUUCCUCUCUAAUUUCAGCAUGGAACAAGGCUCUAACUCUAGCAGCUUCUCUAUUUUCAGCCAAGCGCAUAGCUUCAUCUCUCUCUCUAGUCAUUUGCAUCAUGCGGGCUUGUGCCUCAUUGCGCUCUCUAACUGCAUUCUCAACUUGGUUGCGGCGAGCUUGCAAAGCAGUAUGAUAGUUUUGGAUUUCAGCUUGGGCAUCCAUAAAAGCCUUGCGGCGCUUGCGCACGCGCUUGCGCAGUUUGCGCUGCCCAACUUGAGCUUGUUGAAGCGCUAGCAUGGCAUCUAUGUAGGUGUCCUGGCGUACAUAGUACAGCUUAAGUACUGCUAGCAUGGUGCUCAUGGCAGGGCUAGAACUAUAUCCUAGCAAGGUUUCUCUCAUCUCUAAAGACUCAUUCCCAACCUGGGACACGAAUGUGUCAGUCACACUCACUCUGGGAACGGAUCCCGCUGGGCCAUUCACUAGCUCAUCACCAUGCUCUUGGCAAAUCUCUAGCAAAACCUCCAGGGCUGCUACUUGGGCACCCUCCCAAGGAGUUUGGCCAUCACAGUCAACUAACCAACCUAGCCACUGUGGGUUAUUUGGACAAGGGGGAACUGUAAUUUGGACAUCUACCCAAGGUAAGGCUCCUGCAUGCUCAGCCUCGGUCCAAGUGUACUUAGGUGGUUCCUCAUAUCCAACUGAACUUAGCACCCUCCACAACAAAGUAGGAGUGCCAAACAUGUCCAGAAAAGUCUCACUCGCGUGCGGGGCUGCCAUAUGUAGAAAGACCACAUUUGAGUAAGGGAGAUUAAUUACAAGGAGAGAUAAAGAACCAUAUUUUCAGAAUUUAAUACCCAAGUAUUGUAUAAAGAAUGUAUGGAUGAUUCAUGAUGCAUGCACGUUCCAUACGUCCUUUCCAAACCUAGAAGAAAGUUCUAACGGUAUAGUCGGUGGCAUACAUACGGGCACUCUUUAUACGCAACUACCCGGUCUACACGUUUCGUUGUUAGUGUACCUGCAGAAGAUUUCAUUUCAGCCCAGCCCCACAAUAGUAUAAGUGCAGAAAUGUAAAUCCAAUCAUCAACAAUCAAGCUAGGUACUCCGAUAUAUAUUCCCAAACAUAUAUCGCAGCACACUACCCCUUUUGGAUGCACCCACCGAUACAUCAAAUAUGUAUACAUGGCUGCACCUACUACCCACAAUUAAGUACCUUCAUAUAUAUAUGUGUGAAACAUGUAAAUAUUCCAGUAACCACAGCUAACACUCCCCUAGACCGACGGUUGGACGGUCAUGCUCUCACAGCUCACACUUACCGUAGCGUAGAGGCAUAUAGAUCCAUACAUUACCACUCAAGCAAGUGGCAUCCAUACAAUUUCACGCCGUAUGGACGACGAAAGAAAACAAACAAUGCUUACCAUGGCGUAGAGGUAUGUGAUCCAUUCAUUACCACUUAAGUAAACGGUAUCCAUAUAAUUACACGCCAUAUGAACGACGAAAGGAAAAACCCCCAUGUUAGUAAUAUUAAGCCACCUAGAAGUCCUUAUAUGGGCAUAAGGGUAUGACCACUGGCAUGGUAUAAGUUAUCAAAAACAUUUUUGAAACAGCCCUACAUAUAGCCUAAUUUUGCCAAAUUAGCUUGAGAAAACCAAAUUCAUUUGUUUUUAAAUACAUCUAUGAUGGUUAAAUGCUUAAUCUUGCUCUGAUGCUAGCUGUAACAGAACCGUCCAAUUUAUAAGAAUUCAAGCGACCACGGAGGCAGUCAAGCCAAUGGACUUGAACCCAUAUAAACCCGGUAGUCCGACGAAAUCUCAAAAGACCUCGAUUCAACCAACAUACAACCAAGAUCGUACAUGAUCAAGCAUCACCAUCACAGAUUACAACAUUCAUCACAGAACAUAGUUUUACAUCACAUCAGAGUUUAAAGAGG
rnacentral:lncRNA from 1 species